CUCUGGGGAGGCAAAAUCCUUUCCAAGAGUCCCAUGAAAAGAGAAAAUCAUUUCACAUCCAUGAAGGAGAGGAAGUACUGUUGGGAAAAAAAGAAGAAAGGAGGACAGGCAUGUGUGGAGAGCGGCUGGACCGAACCGUUCCUGGUGAGAAAUAUUGCAGAUGAGUCUGGCCACAUUCAGAAAGCAACCAUGUCUCAUCUGAAGCCAUACUUCACAUGUGAACAUGAGCUGGAUGCUGGGACAAAAAAUGUUGAAACCACUGACUAUGACUGAGAAAGCAGACGUGGCUGUGGACGGUGGCGAUGCAUCAGUUUGAGAAUCAACUAAAAUCACCACGUGCCACUGUUUUCUGUUUGCCUUAUCACUGGUUUGUUCUGGAUUUGUUAUCAUGCAUGCUGUUUUAUAAGGUAAUUUUGCUGGUGAUGCAGAGAAGGUGUGUGUUGCUUUAGUCUGAAGAUGGACUGGACUGCAUCUCCCAGCAUGCACUGUGUGCAGAGAGACCAAUUCAGAUGCUUGCACUUCCAGACUUCAAGACAAUGUUUGAUUGAAAUACCUUUUUGGUUAAUCUAGUUGAUCAGCAGUCAUGAAUGGCAGGGUCAAAAUGCUAAAACUUUGAAGAAAAGACUUUGAUUUAGGCUGUUCCUGUUGACAGUAGAGCUGAUUUGAGGACGUCUGCAUGUGCUCCACACGGUCCGCUGGGAAUGAAGUAUCGGGCAGGAACACGUUACAAACACACUGUCCAAACUCCCCGAUGGAGCCGUCGACGCUGCCAGAGCCCCAAUCCUCUAGAGACUGGACAACAUGGCUUUAUUCUUCUUUAUGUUAAGAUAUGUUUUAAAAAUUGAAUCUUUGGAAACAGUUCAGCAAUGAAUCAAAACUGAGAUUGUGAGGGUCAGAGUGACUCUUACCAGCCAGGCAUGAGCAGGAGCCGCAAGCAGGAGGAGCAGCAGGAGAUCCAUCAUGCUUCUCUUUUCAGAAUAUGUUUCUCUUUCUCAGCUACUGCCUUAUAUGCAGCAUGUUAUCAAAACUAAUCUACAGCACAUGUCUUAUUCUCAUGCUUAUUGCGUUUGACACCCAAUGGAUGUACGAUGACGUUCCUUAUUAAAACAUAUGCACACAGUUCAUGUUAGCUUAACACGUUGUAUGUGUUUUAUUGGUGGAUUCUCAUAACAUGCAUGAGAGUCAUAAUUGACCUGAGAGGAAACAUUGUUUGCCAAACCUGGAGAAGUUUCAUGGACUACUGUAAUAACAUGCCAUCACAAUGACUGAGUGCUGGUGUGAUCUAGACCUCUGUCUGGCCAUCUGUGUGUCCAUCUAUUCAUCUAUCCAUGCUAAAAUAAUGCAAUAAACUAUAGAGCACCU